rnacentral:rRNA from 1 species
GGAGAGAACUCAGGAGAAGGAACUCGGCAAAUUGACACCGUAACUUCGGGAUAAGGUGUGCCUUUGUAGCGUGGAGGGAGAAACACCCCGAGCGCGAAGAUGUCUCAGAUAAUCGGUGGCUGCGACUGUUUAUUAAAAACACAGCACUCUGCAAAGACGAAAGUCGACGUAUAGGGUGUGAUGCCUGCCCGGUGCUGGAAGAUUAAUUGAUGGGGUGCAAGCUCCUGAUCGAAGUCCCAGUAAACGGCGGCCGUAACAAUAACGGUCCUAAGGUAGCGAAAUUCCUUGUCGGGCAAGUUCCGACCUGCACGAAUGGCAUAACGAUGGCCACACUGUCUCCUCCUGAGACUCAGUGAAGUUGAAGUGUUUGUGAUGAUGCAAUCUCCCCGCGGCUAGACGGAAAGACCCCAUGAACCUUUACUGUAGCUUUGCAUUGGACUUUGAACCGAUCUCUGUAGGAUAGGCGGGAGCCUGUGAAACCACAACGCCAGUUGUGGCGGUGGCGUCCUUGAAAUACCGCCCUGAUUUGUUUGAGGUUCUAACCUGGGACAGUCAUCCUGUCCGGGGACCGUGCAUGGUAGGCAGUUUGACUGGGGCGGUCUCCUCCUAAAGGUAACGGAGGAGUGCGAAGGUACGCUAGGUACGGUCGGAAAUCGUGCUGAUAGUGCAAUGGCAAAAGCGUGCUUGACUGCGAGACCCACAAGUCGAGCAGAUACGAAAGUAGGUCAUAGUGAUCCGGUGGCUCUGUAUGGAAGGGCCAUCGCUCAACGGAUAAAAGGUACUCUGGGGAUAACAGGCUGAUACCGCCCAAGAGUUCAUAUCGACGGCGGUGUUUGGCACCUCGAUGUCGGCUCAUCUCAUCCUGGGGCUGUAGCCGGUCCCAAGGGUAUGGCUGUUCGCCAUUUAAAGAGGUACGUGAGCUGGGUUUAAAACGUCGUGAGACAGUUUUGUCCCUAUCUGCCGUGGGCGCUGGAAGAUUGACGGGGGCUGCUCCUAGUACGAGAGGACCGGAGUGGACUCACCUCUGGUGUACCGGUUGUCACGCCAGUGGCAUCGCCGGGGAGCUAUGUGGGGAAGAGAUAACCGCUGAAAGCAUCUAAGCGGGAAACUUGCCUGAAGAUAAGUCUUCCUGGAGGCUAGACCUCCCUAAAGAGUCGUUCGAGACCAGGACGUUGAUAGGAUGGGUGUGUAAGUGCUGUGAGGCACUCAGCUAACCAUUACUAAUUGCUCGUGAAGCUUGAUCCU